rnacentral:rRNA from 1 species
UACGUAGGGUGCAAGCGUUAAUCGGAAUACUGGGCGUAAAGCGUGCGCAGGCGGUUAUGUAAGACAGGUGUGAAAUCCCCGGGCUUAACCUAGGAACUGCAUUUGUGACUGCAUAGCUAGAGUACGGUAGAGGGGGAUGGAAUUCCGCGUGUAGCAGUGAAAUGCGUAGAUAUGCGGAGGAACACCGAUGGCGAAGGCAAUCCCCUGGACCUGUACUGACGCUCAUGCACGAAAGCGUGGGGAGCAAACGAGG